rnacentral:rRNA from 1 species
AAAUUGAAGAGUUUGAUCAUGGCUCAGAUUGAACGCUGGCGGCAGGCCUAACACAUGCAAGUCGAACGGUAACAGGAAGAAGCUUGCUUCUUUGCUGACGAGUGGCGGACGGGUGAGUAAUGUCUGGGAAACUGCCUGAUGGAGGGGGAUAACUACUGGAAACGGUAGCUAAUACCGCAUAAUGUCGCAAGACCAAAGAGGGGGACCUUCGGGCCUCUUGCCAUCGGAUGUGCCCAGAUGGGAUUAGCUAGUAGGUGGGGUAACGGCUCACCU